AUGUCAAAUUGAAUAUUUUACGUGACGAAAAUGAAUGUUAUACGAACAUCCCCUAAAAUAAAUAGAGUCAUCACAUAAGGUUUACGUGAAACGUCAAACAAUCUACGUGAAUUUCCAGUGUAAAAAACUCGAUUUUGAAAAUGGCGAGCAGUGGCCCUCGAAGUACUUCUGUGAAGUUACCGACUAAAAAGCUCACCGACCAAAAAGCUCACCGACCAAAAUUCUCAUCUUUAAAAAACUCUCUCUCAGAAAAAUGCUCAGUGGGAAAAAGCUCAUCUCAAAUAAAUCCCUAUAAGAAAUAUACCCAAUGCAGAGCCACGCACCCUAGUGGUGGGAAUCGUAAAAACUGGAAAUCAACGACCAAAACGGAAAUUCUAUUAAAAGCAUUAUUUUUGAAAAUAAAGUAAUCUAUAGCAUGA